UUCAUUUCAUAUUAGAGUAACAUUUUACUCUCUCGUUACCUUAUCUCAAACACAACCUCUUUCUUUCCAUAAAUAUCAUCCAUUGUCACCACCCUAUCCCAUCCAUCACCACCCUAUUCCAUCCUCACCAUUAUCUACACCUAACCCACAAACUAUUUUUCUCGUUAGUUAAAGAACCUUAUUGACAGUUUUAACCUACAUUGAUACAUUAGUGGGAAAGACCACAAUCAAUUUUUUUUCUUUAAAACUUGACACCCGAACUUAAAAGUUUGUUUGUUUGGAGUUAAACAUCUAUAUUCAUAUAUAAAUUAAUGCCUCAAAAGGUUUGUAUGGGAGAGCCCCCUCCGUUGAUCUUCACUUUUUCUUUGUUAGAAUGGGUGGUCUCGGAAUUUCUUUGUUAGAAUGGGUGGUCUCGGAAUUGGUAAAUCUUGUGCAUUUUUCUUUACUUACUUGAUAUUCAAUUUUAUGUACACUUUUAAAUAAAUGCAUAUAGUAAGCUUUACUGAAAAUUGAAAUUCAUAUCUUUCCACUUAAAAGCCCCGUCGAAAUCCACUAUCAAUGUCCCGUCUUUGCUAACCGCUCAAAUUCACUGUAAUCCGGCAACACCUAAGUCAUUUAAGAUAUCCCUCGCGCGCUAAAAAAAGAAAACAACAAUCCAGGAGUAACAGUUGCAGUCAUUGAAUCAUCAUUAGUAAUCCAGUCGUGUCCAACACAAACUUAGAGGAAUACUCCUAAAGGUAAGGUGUUGAUCGGUGUUAAAUCAAGAGUCGUGGAAGAGGUCAAAGUGGAGGUGAAAAAGGUGCUUCCGUUCAACGAGAUUAGAUCUGGAUCUAGAUCUUGAGCCUGUUCCCAAUCUUAGGGAAACCGAAGAGAUGAUGAACAUGCGCGCAGAUAAUUUUCUACCAUUUAGGUAGAAAAACUGGAAGCAGCUUCUCUACCAUACACCGUCGGGGACUUAAAACCGGCGAAAUUUUCUACCAUUUAGGUAGAAAAACUGGAAGCAGCUUCUCUACCAUACACCGUCGGGGACUUAAAACCCGCGAAAGGCGGCAAUAGUUCUUUAGAUGUAGUCUCUCUUUUUUGAACUUGUUAUGCGUUGAUAGUGACACGAGCUAUCUUAUUGGAAAAAGGUUAUUUACAUUGGAUGAAGGUAUAUACAUGUGCUAGUGAAUCUGUAGUGUUUGAGUUAAAACGUACUUUGUUGCUUUUAAGACAAACUGGUAAUUUUCAUUUCUAUCUUGGAUGUCUCUCUGCAUUUGAUAGUUUACAUUUGUAUUAACGUUAAAAUUUGAGAAAUUUGAGAUCUCAUUCCCUAGCAUGAAACAGCAAUUGGAGAAUCAAACCUCUCUGACUCGGAAUCGUCAUUUGACAAUGCAAAGAAGAGUUUCUCGAAGUUAUCAUCAACAUUUGAGUUCUGCUUGCAAAUUAGGCAUUUGGUUGGCAGUAAAGGUGAAGGAGAUUAUGAAAGAACAAGACCAUCCGGUGGUUCAAAAGUUCAUGAUGAAUACAUGCUCUGGAAGUUGAACAUAUGCCGGAAGCACUAGAUGUCCCUUGGAUUCUUGCCAGAAAUGGAGAGUCAAUAUCAUUGUUUCAACGUUGGACUAUCGAACGAACUUCAAAUGACGGCGUUGAGGGUACUUCUUGAUCAGUCUAUCCCAAAGAUGCAGACAUCUAUAGAAGUACUUUUGUUGACAAAGGACAUGAUGGGUUUUGACCGUCUUUUCUUGCCUUCAAUGGGAUUGAAUAAAGCACCAUUAAAAUCAAAUUGGAAUUUUGUUUGUUGUGUUGAGUUCUACUUGAAGAAAAACAUAAACAUUUUCACGAGCAACAAUCAUUGCCAAGUACACACCAUGAAUGUAUUAAUUUGCAGUGCUUGGUGGAAGAUUGUUGGUAUACAUCCCUCAUAUUGGGCUUUUGUAUUGUAGAUCAAGGGGUGUAUACCAAUGAAUUUUCACAAGGAUCGCCAAAGUAAUACAUUUAUGGUGUGUACUUAGCGAUGAUUGCUCGUUAAAGAGCAAUUAUGUUUUCUUUAGGCGGAAGCUGAACAAAUUGAAUUCCGAUUGAAGUUUCAUCGUGUUUUAUUCAAUCCCAUUGCAGGCAGCAUAAGAUAGUAAAAUUCCAUCAUCACCUUUUUCGACCUAAUUACUUAUAAAUGCAUAUAUAUAUAAAAACUUUGUGAUAGAGUGAUCAAGUUUCACACUCUACACCGUCAUAUGAUAUAUUGAUAUUGGUUCGAUAAGGAAAGAGCUCAAGAUAAGAGAAUGGCUCAAGAUAUGAAAAUGGCCCAAGAUAUAAGAGAAAUAAUGAUAAUAUUGUAUCUUUCACUAUUGAAGUAGAAACGCAAGGAACUGUGUUCAAAGAGGCAUGCAUGGCCAAGAUAAGAAAAUGGCUGAGAAACUUGCAUGCACUGCUGUUCUAGAGCUCAUCAGAGAUGCAUGAAGACAGUCAAAUAACCGAUGCUUUUACUUGCCGAUGAUCCCCUAUAUAUAUAGCUGAUGACUCCAAUGUUCAAGGAACCGUAUUGAUUCGAUUUAGAAAUGUGUUAUCUUAACCCUUUCUUUUGGGGCUGCAUUUCUGUGUAAAUGUACAAGACUUGAUGUUCGAUGCCCUUAAAUAUACAUCCCUUUGUUGUAUAUAUGUUUUUGAAUGAAAAAAUUCUUCUUUUUGGCCCA